rnacentral:tRNA from 1 species
GACCGAAUGGCGUAGUGGUUAGUGACCCUGGCUACUGAGCCGAUGGUCCCGGGUUCGAUUCCCGGCUUGGGCA